rnacentral:misc_RNA from 1 species
GGGGACUACUCGGGUAUCUAAUCCUGUUUGCUCCCCACGCUUUCGCGCCUCAGCGUCGGAUCCGGCCCAGCGGGCCGCCUUCGCCACCGGUGUUCUUCCCGAUCUCUACGCAUUCCACCGCUACACCGGGAAUUCCACCCGCCCCUACCGGUCCCCAGGUCGGGAGUCUCGGAAGCAGUCCCGGGGUUGAGCCCCGGGCUUUCACUCCCGACUUCCCGUCCCGCCUGCGCGCGCUUUACGCCCAGUGAUUCCGAACAACGCUCGCGCCCUCCGUCUUACCGCGGCUGCUGGCACC